rnacentral:rRNA from 1 species
AUUGAACGCUGGCGGCAGGCCUAACACAUGCAAGUCGAACGGUAGCACAGAGAGCUUGCCCUCGGGUGACGAGUGGCGGACGGGUGAGUAACGUCUGGGAAACUGCCCGAUGGAGGGGGAUAACUACUGGAAACGGUAGCUAAUACCGCAUAACGUCGCAAGACCAAAGAGGGGGACCUCCGGGCCGCUUGCCACCAGAUGUUCCCAGAUGGGAUUAGCUGGCAGGUAGGGUAAUGGCCUACCUGGGCGACGAUCCCUAGCUGGUCUGAGAGGAUGACCAGCCACACUGGAACUGAGACACGGUCCAGACUCCUACGGGAGGCAGCAGUGGGGAAUAUUGCACAAUGGGCGCAAGCCUGAUGCAGCCAUGCCGCGUGUGUGAAGAAGGCCUUCGGGUUGUAAAGCACUUUCAGCGAGGAGGAAGGCAGUAAGGUUAAUAAGCUUACUGAUUGACGUUACUCGCAGAAGAAGCACCGGCUAACUCCGUGCCAGCCGCCGCCGUAA